rnacentral:rRNA from 1 species
UAGGGAAUCUUCCACAAUGGACGCAAGUCUGAUGGAGCAACGCCGCGUGAGUGAAGAAGGUUUUCGGAUCGUAAAGCUCUGUUGUUGGUGAAGAAGGAUAGAGGCAGUAACUGGUCUUUAUUUGACGGUAAUCAACCAGAAAGUCACGGCUAACUACGUGCCAGCAGCCGCGGUAAUACGUAGGUGGCAAGCGUUGUCCGGAUUUAUUGGGCGUAAAGCGAGCGCAGGCGGAAUGAUAAGUCUGAUGUGAAAGCCCACGGCUCAACCGUGGAACUGCAUCGGAAACUGUCAUUCUUGAGUGCAGAAGAGGAGAGUGGAAUUCCAUGUGUAGCGGUGGAAUGCGUAGAUAUAUGGAAGGACACCAGUGGCGAAGGCGGCUCUCUGGUCUGCAACUGACGCUGAGGCUCGAAAGCAUGGGUAGCGAACAGG